rnacentral:rRNA from 1 species
GACGAACCGUGCGAACGUUGUUCGGAUUCACUGGGCUUAAAGGGCGCGUAGGCGGACGGUCAAGUCAGGGGUGAAAUCUUUCAGCUCAACUGGAAAAGUGCCUCUGAUACUGAUCGUCUCGAGGGAGGUAGGGGCAUGUGGAACUUCCGGUGGAGCGGUGAAAUUCGUAGAUAUUCGCAAGAACACCAGUGGCGAAGGCGGCUCACUGGCCCGGUACUGACGCUGAGGUGCGAAAGCGUGGGGAGCAAACAGG